AAAAUAAUACAGACCUGAUGUUUACAUCUGUCAAAAUAAAAAGUUACUAAAUGGCAAAUAUAAUGCUGAAUUUUAUUAAAGAAACUACGCUCAAAUGGGUAUUUAUAAUUACUCUCUAGUACUUUUUUUAGUGCGGCUACCGGUCACCCGGCGGCGCCAAAUUUUUUGGAAAAAAAGUGGGGGGCACCCUUGAAGAAUGGCCUUAAAAACAAGUGGACUAAAUUUGAAGAAAAUCAUACAGCACUACGGAGCAUUAAAGUUGAAGCAAAUGAUGGGAUUAUUAAUUAUUUAAAUGCAACGAAAUAUUUCUCUGAGAAACAUUAUCAUAAAAUUAAAAUAUUAUACUUAAAUACACUUAUUUCCAUGACUGAACAACUUAAUAGAGUCGUCGGGGAAAAUUCAUUCAUGGUUUUAACGAGGAAAGUUAUGCAGGUCGAGGCCAAACGAAUAGGUCAUCAGGUCGGCUCCUUUCGUGUUAUAUAUCUCACUACUAUAUAUAAUAAUAUAUCAACAUGACAGCCUACUCUAGGCUCCAUUCGUUAACGAUAAUAAUGUGAUCUGUUACUAUGCAAAAUAUAAACACAGACGCGGAAUUAUGCCAAGAGUGACGAGAAACAAUGAGGUGAUAAAAAUUAGCAAACUAAAAAAAUAAGGACACAGAUAAAAAUUGGCGUAUUGAAAACA